GACGAACGCUGGCGGCGUGCUUAACACAUGCAAGUCGAACGGAAAGGCCCUGCUUUUGUGGGGUGCUCGAGUGGCGAACGGGUGAGUAACACGUGAGUAACCUGCCCUUGACUUUGGGAUAACUUCAGGAAACUGGGGCUAAUACCGGAUAGGAGCUCCUGCUGCAUGGUGGGGGUUGGAAAGUUUCGGCGGUUGGGGAUGGACUCGCGGCUUAUCAGCUUGUUGGUGGGGUAGUGGCUUACCAAGGCUUUGACGGGUAGCCGGCCUGGGAGGGUGACCGGCCACAUGGGAACGGGAGUACGGCCCGGGCCCCACGGGGGGCAAGGGGGGGGAAAUUUUGACAAAUGGGCGGAGGCUUGUGGGAGGAACCCGGGGGGGGGGAGGAGGGCCUUGGGGUUUAAAACCGUUUUCCCUUUGAAGGAAGGGGGGGGAAGGGAAAUGGUAAAAAAGACCCGGGUAAACUAGGG
rnacentral:rRNA from 1 species